ACCACUGUGGGUGCAAAUGGUCCUGAUAGAGCAUGAGACUCUUAAUCUCAAGGUUGUGGGUUCAAGCCCUACGUUGGGCA